GCAUCGAUGAAGAACGCAGCGAAAUGCGAUACCUAGUGUGAAUUGCAGCCAUCGUGAAUCAUCGAGUUCUUGAACGCACAUUGCGCCCUCCGGCAUUCCGGGGGGCAUGCCUGUUUGAGCGUCGUUUCCUUCUUGCGCAAGCAGAGUUGGGGUUGCCACGGCCCGUGCGGCCUGUGUGUGGCUCCCCCGAAACGGAACGGCAGCGGGACUGAGCGAAGUACACAACACUCGCGCUUGGCCCGCCGAACUUUUUUUUUAAAUCUAAGCUCGACCUCAAAUCAGGUAGGAAUACCCGCUGAACUUAAGCAUAUCAAUAAGCGGAGGA
rnacentral:rRNA from 1 species